rnacentral:rRNA from 1 species
AUUGAACGCUGGCGGCAGGCCUAACACAUGCAAGUCGAGCGGAUGAAGGGAGCUUGCUCCUGGAUUCAGCGGCGGACGGGUGAGUAAUGCCUAGGAAUCUGCCUGGUAGUGGGGGAUAACGUCCGGAAACGGGCGCUAAUACCGCAUACGUCCUGAGGGAGAAAGUGGGGGAUCUUCGGACCUCACGCUAUCAGAUGAGCCUAGGUCGGAUUAGCUAGUUGGUGGGGUAAAGGCCUACCAAGGCGACGAUCCGUAACUGGUCUGAGAGGAUGAUCAGUCACACUGGAAUUGAGACACGGUCCAGACUCCUACGGGAGGCAGCAGUGGGGAAUAUUGGACAAUGGGCGAAAGCCUGAUCCAGCCAUGCCGCGUGUGUGAAGAAGGUCUUCGGAUUGUAAAGCACUUUAAGUUGGGAGGAAGGGCAGUAAGUUAAUACCUUGCUGUUGGACUUACCA